rnacentral:tRNA from 2 species
UCCCUGGUGGUCUAGUGGUUAGGACUUGGCACUUGUCACUGCUAUGGCCCAGGUUCAACCCCUGGUUGGGGAA